UGCAAAACAGAGACGACCAAUGGUGGCACAGGCUUGUGGGCAUUCGAGAAAUGAGAAAAAAAUCCUUCUACAGCAAACAGUGAACUUAUACAGGUGACCGUGUUCUACUUGCACACCACAUUUCAUAGAUAGUGCAACAGAGAAAAUAUUGUAGGAUGGACAUCACAGACCACAUGACAGAGAAGCUGAAUGCUGUGCGUCCUAGGCAACAGGCAUAGUGAAGAUGAGAUGCAAAUGUCACCUUCGACGCAAGCUCCGUUGCACACUUUUUGCUGCCACAAACUUCAUGUGCCUGUAUACAUCAUUACCUGUUCUGUG
rnacentral:lncRNA from 1 species